rfam:Ornithorhynchus anatinus chromosome 12, whole genome shotgun sequence.
AGCAGUGUGGCUCAGUGGAAAGAGCCCGGGCUUGGGAGUCAGAGGUCAUGGGUUCGAAUCCCGGCUCUGCCA